GCUCUUGCAACGAUGAAGAACGCAGCGAAAUGCGAUACGUAGUGUGAAUUGCAGAAUUCCGCGAAUCAUCGAGUCUUUGAACGCAAGUUGCGCCCGAGGCUUGUCCGAGGGCAUUUCCGCUAGAGCGUC
rnacentral:rRNA from 8 species